UCGGAGGCGCGGAGCUGCGAGGAUGGGGCCGCGCGCCGCCCUCCUCCUGGCUGCCCUCGGGGCGGUCAGCCGCGCGCAGGUGCUCACACCGCCCAUUUUUAACCUGGCGGAGAACAAGGAGAUCACGGCGACGGCGACCUGCGGAGAGGACGUGUCCGAGCCGGAGCUCUACUGCCAGCUGACCGGCGGUAACGCCGACAAAGAGGUCAAGGUGCAACUCAUCCAGGGACAGGUAUGCGACUACUGCGACCCGAGCGACCCAGAACGCUCCCAUCCGGCCAGUAACGCCAUCGACGGCUCGGAGAGGUGGUGGCAGUCACCCCCUCUCUCCAGAGGCAGCGCCUACAAUGAGGUCAACGUCACACUCGACCUCGGACAGGAGUUCCAUGUCGCCUACGUGUUCAUCCGGAUGGCCAACUCGCCCCGGCCGGGCGUCUGGGUGCUGGAGCGUUCCCGCGACCACGGCAAGACCUACGAGCCCUGGAGCUACUUCGCCGAUACGCCCAGUGACUGCCAAACGUACUUCGGAAGUGAGAGUCUCAAGCCCAUCAUGAACGACGAUGAUGUACGCUGCGAGACACAGUACUCCAAGGUGGUCCCCCUGGAAAACGGAGAGAUUCCGUUUUCGUUGCUGAACGGCCGCCCGUCCAAGGACCUGUUCACCAACUCCACGGUCCUACGGGAGUGGACGCGUGCCACCAACAUCCGACUGCGUCUGCUGCGCGCCAAGACGCUGCUCGGACACCUGAUGUCCGUUGCGCAGCAGGUCCCCACUGUUACUCGGAGGUACUUCUACUCGAUCAAGGACAUCAGUGUGGGCGGCCGGUGCGUGUGUAACGGCCACGCCGACCUGUGCGAUCCAUCUGCCGAGGACCAGUACCGCCUGCUCUGUCGGUGUCAGCACAACACCUGCGGCGACCAGUGCCAGGAGUGCUGCCCGCCCUUCGUGCAGAAAAAGUGGAAACCGGCCUCCUAUGCGGAUGCCUUCCAGUGCGAACCCUGUAACUGUCACGGCCACUCUGACGAGUGCGAAUACAGCGAGGAGGUGGAGGCGGAACGACUCUCUCUCGAUAUCUACGGAAACUACGAGGGCGGCGGUGUGUGCCAGAACUGCCGUCACCACACGACCGGUAUCAACUGCCACGAGUGUGAAAACGGCUUCUUCCGGCCGGUCGGCGUCGCUCUCGACUCUGCGGACGUCUGCCAGCCGUGCGACUGUGCGUUCCACUACUCGACGGGUAACUGCGCCGAGGGCACGGGCAAGUGCGAGUGCCGCCCCGAGUUUCAGGCACCGGACUGUGACGAUUGCAGCUACGGCUACUAUGGCUACCCGGACUGCCGGCCGUGCGACUGCCAUCUGAACGGCACCCGCGGCAAUGUCUGUGAGGUGAACGGAGGCCAGUGUCCGUGCAAGGCCAACUUCGAGGGACAAAACUGCGACCGCUGUGCUCCGGGCUUCUUCAACUUCCCCGCCUGCGAACCGUGCGAGUGUAACCCGACCGGCUCCGUGGGCGAGGUCUGUGACGUGGAGCAGGGUCAGUGCGACUGCCUCAACAACUUCGGCGGACGCCAGUGCGACCAGUGCCAGAACGGAUACUACAACUACCCGGACUGCGAGUACUGCAACUGUGACAGUUCGGGCACGGAGCCGGGCAUCUGUGACAAGCAGAGCGGCCAGUGUCAGUGCCGGGAGGGCUAUGGCGGCGAGCGGUGCGACCAGUGUGCGGCGGGAUUCUUCGGCUAUCCUAACUGCCGACCCUGUGACUGUUAUGUGGACGGCAGCACGUCCACGUCCUGCAGCGCCACCGGCAAGUGCUCCUGCCUGUCGAGCUUCUCCGGUCAGCGGUGCGAACAGUGCAGCCCGGGACACUUCAACUUCCCAUCCUGCACCCCGUGCGACUGCCACCCGUAUGGCGCCAUCGGCGUCUCCUGUGACGGCGACGGCGUCUGCCGGUGCAAAGACAACUUUGACGGCGUCAAGUGCGACAUGUGCAAGGAGAACUUCUACAACUUCCCGCUCUGCGAAGGAUGUAACUGCGACCCGGCUGGCGUGACCUCGUCGUUCGCCGGCUGCGACUCGCUGGAGCACCUGGGCGAGCUGUGCGAAUGUAAACCGCACGUGACUGGCCGAAUCUGUGACACGUGCCGACCGCUGUACUGGAACCUGCGCGUCAACAACCCAGACGGCUGCGAAGACUGCGACUGUAACCCGGCGGGCACGGUUGGCGCCGUGCGCGUCUGUGACACUCGCUCCGGCCAGUGUCCGUGCAAGCCGCACGUUUCGUCCCGCCAGUGUCAGGAGUGCAGUCUGGGAUCGUUCAAACUCACCGACGAUAAUCUGUUCGGAUGUCAGACCUGCAACUGCGACAUCGGCGGCGCGGUGAACGACUUCUGUGACAAGUACACGGGCCAGUGCGCCUGCCGACCGCGCGUGACGGGCCCCUCGUGCAGCCGGCCGCUGCAGCUGCACUACUUCCCGGAUCUGUACCAGUACAAGUAUGAAGCCGAGGACGGCCGGACGGCGGCCAACUCUGCCGUCCGGUUCGGUUACGAUGAGCGCGAGUUCCCCGGAUACAGCUGGAGGGGGUACGCCGUCUUCUCGCCGCUGCAGCGUGAGAUCAUCCACGACAUUUGGGUGGAGAAGCCGUCCCUGUACCGGAUGGUGAUGCGUUACGUCAACCCGCGGCCGGAGCCGAUCGUGGCCACCGUGCAGAUGACACCCGAAAACCCGCUGGAUAUCCCGCAGAACGUCCAGGUCCGUUUCGACCCGAGCCGCGAGGCCGCACUAGUGACGGUGUCUGGUGCCGCUGGUGACCUGCCGUCACCACUGGUGCUCAACCCGGGCCGGUGGACCGUCACCGUACAGAACGAGAUCGAGGGACUCCGACUGGACUACUUUGCGCUGCUGCCGGCGGCCUACUACGAGGGGACCAUCCUGCAGGACCGCGCCACCGAGCCGUGCUACCUGGAGCAGCUGCAGAAGCUGUGUCUGCAGUACGCCUACCCGGACCUCUCCUGGGCAGCAGGAGCGGCCGCCGCCGACGGACUCAAUCAGGACGGCGGACCCACGCAGCUGUAUGAUAACCAGGAGGUGCUGGACGCGGUCAACACUCCCGCGAUGGCUCACCUGAACGAGGAGCAGGGCAGCGUGCGUGUACCUCUGAUCGUGGACUCCCCUGGCCGGUACAUCCUAGUGGUACACUACCUGACCCCGCCCGGCCAGCCGAUCCCCAGCCAGGCCACCGUCGAGACGGUCACUGCCACCGGCACGGAACAGGGCGUGAUGGCCAUUAACCGCUGCGACAUGCCCAUGCUCUGUCGCCAAGUGACAACCGACCAGCAGGGACGCGUCUUCGACUUCAACUUUGACUCCAACGACGUCGAUGUCGUCAUCACGCCUGAGGGCGGCGCGCCGCUGCUGGUCGACUCGGUGGUGGCCAUCCCGGCGCUCCAGUGGCACAACGACUACGUGCUGCCCAAGGUCCGCUGUAUCAGAGAGGACGGAGAGUGUGUCGAGAUCCGGUUCCCCACGCCGCCCGAGUCGUCCAAGGUGGAGUUUGAGUCUGGCCUGGACACCCCUCCGACCGCGGCGCCGGGUCAGGUGGCCGGCUCUGAGGUCGCCCUGGUGCGUCUGGACCGCAACUCCUCCAUGGUGGAUGUUCGCGGUCAGGUGCCCGAGGCCGGGCCGUACGUGUUCGUGGUACACUACUACCAGCCCGAUCACCCAGAGCUGGAGAUGCCCGUGCUGCUACAGAACGGCCAGUUCUACGAGGCCCGUCUGCGCGCGCCGCACUGCGCCUCCACCUCCGGCUGCCGAGCCGUGGUCGAAGAGGCCAACGGAAACAAGGUCUUCAACAUCCUCGAGAACUUCAUGUUCACACUCAAGGAGCCGACCGGUAAGGGUGUGUACGUGGACUACCUGUACGCCAUUCCGGAGGGCGUCUACAACUGGGAGGUGCUGGAGCCACUGCAGAUCGACCGCUCGGCAGAGUUCCUGCAGCGCUGCGGACCCAACCACUACCAGGUCGACACCUCGGAUGAAGGUUUCUGUCGUGACGCCGUCUUCUCUCUAACCACCGACUACAACAACGGCGCCCUGGAGUGUCAGUGUGACAGCCAGGGCUCCGAGAGCUUCGAGUGCCACCCGUUCGGCGGCCAGUGCCCGUGCAAACCGCACGUGAUCGGACGGCAGUGCAACCGGUGCCAGACGGGCUACUUUGGCUUCCCCGACUGCCGGCCGUGCGACUGUCCCAGCACGGCGCUCUGCGAUGAUACGACCGGCGAGUGCAUCUGCCCGCCGCGCGUCACUGGCGAUCGGUGUGACCAGUGUGUGCCGCUGACGUACGGAUUCGACCCCCUGAUCGGCUGCGAGGAGUGCAACUGCGCAGAGCUGGGAGUGGUCGACCCGGCCAACCCGCAGUGUGAUCUCGAGACCGGACAGUGCCCCUGCAAGCCCAACAUCGUCUCCCGCACCUGCGACCGGUGCCAGGCGGGCAGCUGGGCCUACCCGUACUGCCAGCUCUGCAACUGCGACCUGCGGGGCACCACGGAGGAGAUCUGCAGUCAGGAGACGGCCGAGUGCUUCUGUAAGGAGAACGUGGAGGGACGGCUGUGCGACCAGUGCCGACCGGGCACCUACAACAUGGCAGAGUCCAACCCCGACGGCUGCACGCGCUGCUUCUGCUUCGGAAAGACGGAGAGCUGCACCAGCAGCUUCCUGUUCUGGUAUGAGGUGCCGGCGCUGCAGGAGAUGGAAUGGGACGUGGCCGCCGUCUCCCAGACCACCACCGGCCUGAACGUGAUGGAGAGCAAGGUGACGCUGGAGGUGCGUCAGGACCGCGUGCGCGUGGCCGGCGGCCGCGAGGGAGACAUCACCUACUUCGCGCCGGGCGGCCGAGGCGCUAACAUGCUGGGGUCGUACGGCGGAGAGCUGAGAUACGUGGUGGAGCCGGUGGCUGAGGCCGAAGACGGUAUGAUGUCCGGAGCGGACGUCAUUCUGACCGGAGCCAACAUCACCCUGCUGCACUACGCCUACGCCGACAUCGUGCCCAACAUGCAGAACUUCAUCACACUGAGCCUGGAGGAGCGUUUCUUCCGACUGCCAUCGGGCCCUGACGCCACGCGGGAGCAGCUGAUGCAGGUUCUGCAGCGUCUGGACGGUCUGUACAUCAAGGCCACCUACCUGGUGGGUCAGCAAGAGUGCACCAUCUCCAACGUGACGCUGAGCAUGGCCGUGCAGUACGGAGAUCCCAACUACGACCGGCCGGCCUCGUCAGUGGAGGAGUGUGCCUGUCCGAGCAGCUACACGGGUAUGUCUUGUGAGGAGUGUGCCCCGGGCCACUACCGCGCCCAGACCGGCCCCUACGGUGGCUACUGCGUGCCCUGCAACUGCAACGGCCACUCGGAGACGUGCGAUCCGCUCACCGGGAAAUGCUUCGACUGCCAACACAGCACCACGGGCGACCACUGUGAGAAAUGUAUCACCGGUUACCAUGGUGACGCCACGGGCGGCUCACCCUACGACUGUCUGAUCUGCGCCUGUCCCCUGCCGAUCGCCUCCAACAACUUCGCCAACAGCUGCGAGGUAUCGCCGGACGGGCUCAACAUUCGCUGCGAGUGUCAGGAGGGCUACUACGGCGCCCGCUGCCAGGCGUGCGCGGCAGGCUACUUUGGCACGCCGGAGAUACAGGGUGGCUCGUGCCAGCCGUGCGGCUGCUCGGGUAACAUCGACACCAGCGACCCCGGCUCGUGUGACUCGAUCACUGGAGAGUGUCUGCGGUGUCUGAACAAUACGGACGGACCGGCGUGCAACCUGUGCGCUAACGGGUACUUUGGAGACGCCGUGGUCAUCAAGGAUUGUCAGGCCUGCAGCUGCGACGACUGCGGCACUGCCCAGUGUGACUCCAGCACCGGAUUCUGCACCUGUCGACCCAACGUCGAGGGGCCCAAGUGCGACCGCUGCUCGCCCAACACCUGGGGAUUCCAGAGCUGCCAGGGCUGCCGCGACUGCGAGUGUGCCGAGGCCUCGGAGUCGACCUCGUGUGACUACGAGACGGGCCAGUGCCGGUGCCGCCCGGGCGCCGCUGGCAGACGGUGCGACCAGUGCGCCUCGGGCUACUGGAACUAUGGACCGUCCGGCUGCCAGUCGUGCAACUGUAACGAGGAGUACGCGUACGGAGUGGGCUGCAACCCGCAGACUGGCCAGUGCGAGUGUCUGCGCGGCGUGGAGGGACCGCGCUGCGAGCGCUGUCCGUACCGAUGGAUCCUCAUCCCAGGUCAGGGCUGUGAGGAGUGCGACAGCUGCGUCCAUGACCUGCUGGACACCACCGAUAGUCUGGAGGCCAUCGUACAACCCAUAGUCAACGACUUUGAGUCGUACGCUGGCAGCUUCUUCCUGAACCAGAAGCUCUCCAUUAUGAACGAGUCCUACAACCAGCUCCGACCGCAGGUGGACGCCAUCUCCGGCGGCGGUGUGGACAUCAGUCCACUGCAGCUGCAGGUGGAGGCGCUGGAGAAGCGCGCCACCGCUCAGAAGAUCAGCGCCCAGCAGACCACCGCGCGAGCGCAGGAGGCCCAGCAGAAGGCCGUCAAGGUCCGUGAUGACGCUCUGGAGGUGGAGCGUCAGAUCGACGAGGCCGUCCGUCAGGCCCGUGAUAUCGUCAGCAGCAUCAUCGAACACGCUCAGAGCCUCAAGGUGGGAGCCGGCCCGCAGAUCAGUCUGGCGCUCAGUGAGGCAGAGAGCCUUCUGGCGCAGAUCCGCGCCAGAGACUUUGGACCCGCCGGUCGCCGCGUCGAGGACGAGCUGGGCUCCGCCAUUGAACUCCUGGAGCGUGUGCGCGAAUUUAGCGGCCUCAUCUCCGGCCGCUGGGAGGAGGCCAGUCAGCUCCGCGCCCGUCUGAACGACCUCGAGGCGCGGCUGGCCGAUCUGCGUGAACAGUCGUCCGCCGCCCGCGACAAGGCACUCGAGGCGCUCGAGCUGAUCUCCAACAACCGAGUGCAGAUCAUCAACGAGCGAGUGACCGAUGUCGGCAUGAUCGCGGAGGCGGCCGGGGACGAGCUGGACUCGGCCGCCGAGUGGCUGGAGAAGGCGCGCGCGCUGCUCUCGGAGGCGCGCGCCUCGCUGGCCGCGCUGCAGAUCCAGUCGGAGCGCCUGCUGGCCAGUCAGACGGCCGUCCAGGUGCGGAUCGACCAGAUGACGGACCAGCUGGACGACGUGACGGUGCUGGUGCGGCAGGCGCAGCAGCACGCCACCGACCUCAUGAUGCAGGCUCAGCUGCUGGACAACAUGUUGGCCGACACCCGCCAGGCUUCCGAUGGCGCCCUGCGCGCCGCCAACUCCUACAAGGACAUCGUGAAGGCGAUCGAGGAGGCCCUGGCAGCGGCUCGCGCGGCUCUGGACGCCGCCGGCAGCGCCGGAGAGAUGUCUGAGGGGGUCGGAGACCGGGCGCUCGAGUCGAGGGAGAUCAGCGAGCAGCUGCUGCAGCUGGCGAACGGCCUGCUGGCCACGGUGAUGGAGGAGCUGCAGCCGCAGCUGCAGGCCGCCAAGGAGAGUGUGGACACGGUGGAGCGUAUGAACCAGGAGACGCGCUCCCAGCUGACCCUAAUCACCGACUCGCUGGCCGCUCUGGAGCGCUACCAACUGGAGGCGGAGGCGCGCGAGGCGGCCCGCGUCGCCACCGACGCCAACGCCGCCGCCGUGGAUGCGCUGGACCGCGUGGGCGCCAUCUCGGCUCAGCUGGAGGGCGACCUGCAGGCGGCGUACGGGCUGGCGCGCGAGAUGGAGGGCGCCAGGAAGGCCAUCCAGCUGGCCUCCGAACAGGUGGACACUGUGGAGGGCAUCAUCCCUAACAUGCGCACGCUCAUCACCUCUGUGGACGACAAGUUCACCGUCAUCCGCACGCUGGGAGUGGACGUCGGCAAGAAGAUCGCCGAGCUGCGCAGGAAGGUGGCCGUCGCCAGGGAGAAGGCCAACAGUAUCGGCGUGGGUGUCGAGUUCCGCCGCGACAUGACGCUCCGCCUGAAGAACCCCGAGGGCCUGGAUCGGUCAGCCACCUCCACCGACGUCAGCUUCUUCUUCCGCACCGACAACCCCAACGGCUUCCUGCUCUACCUGGGCAACGAAGUGGGCACCAAGGACCAGCUGCGACGCACCACCUCGGACGACUUUAUGGCUGUGGAGGUGAUCCAGGGCAACCUGAACGUGCUGGUUGACCUCGGCUCGGGCGCUCAGCGCAUCAUCAACGACGCCGUCUACGUGUCCGACGGCGUCUGGAGACAGGCAGUCAUCUCGCGGAAGGGCCGCCAGGUGAAGGUGAAGGUCAUCUCUGAGGACUACGAGGGCCGCCGCAAGGAGGACGAGGUCGAGUCCAUCCUGCCCGGCAGCAAGUCCGUCUUCAACCUGGACCAGACGCGCUCGGUGCUGCACGUCGGUGGAUUCCCUACAUCGGCUAAGGUUCAGAACAACGUGCGCUACACGACCCUGGAGGGCGCCAUCGAGGAGCUCAAGAUCAACGACGUGCCCGUUGGCCUGUGGAACUUCGUCUCCCAGACCAAUCUGAAGAACAGAGGAGCCAUGGUCCGCGACAAGCUGGUGAAGCUGGUGCCGGCCACCGGUCUGCGCUUCAACGGGUUCGGCUACUCGGCCUUCGACACGGUCGGCUUCUCGUUCGGCGAGCGCUUCUCGCUGCAGCUGCGCUUCAAGACCUUCUCCGACGAGGGCCUGCUGUUCUUCGUGGGCAACAACGAGCGCGACUUCCUCAGCGUGGAGAUGGUCGGAGGCGGCAUUGUCUUCCAGUACUCUCUGGGUGACGGCCCGGCCACGCUGCGCGGUGACGGUCCCUACAACGACGGCGAAUGGCACGUGUUGGAGGCCUCCCGGGACCGCCAGAGCGGAGUGCUCAAGAUCGACUCGCAGCUGGUCGCACAGGGCACCUCGCCUGGACGGAACAGCGUCUUGGACGUGACUGGAAUGAUGUACUUCGGAGGAUACCCUGACAACAUGCCCUUCCCCGAGGUCACUAACAGGGACUUUGAGGGCUGCAUGGAUGACGUGUCGUUCACUCGCUCCACUCUGAACCUGGGCACGAGCAAGGAGGCCCUCGGCGUCACUCCGGGCUGCCCGGCGCGGGUUGCGACGGACGUGUCAUUUGCGUACGGCAGUCCCGGCUACGUGCUGCUCCCCAUGGAGUCGGCGCCACUCCAGCAGCUGACGCUCAAGUUCAAAACGGCCGUGCCCGAGGGCCUGCUGUUCUACGCCACCAACAGGGACAGGAGUGAGUACGUCUCCGUCUCCCUCCGAGACGGCGGUGUGGUCCUACGCAGCCAGCCGGGCGGGGAGGUGUCCACUGCCUCGUUCUCCCGCUACGAUGACGACCAGUGGCACGUGGUGGCCGCAUCGCUGCUCGAUGACAACAUCCGACUCGAGAUCGAUGACUACGAGACAUUCCUCGUGCCGAACCCGGUGCCGGGUCUGUCAGUGACGCUGCACUCUCCGCUCUACUUUGGCGGCCUGCCGUCGUCUGUUCGCGUCUCGGAGGACUCUGCCGCCAGUCUGGCCAGCUACACGGGUUGCCUUGGAGACGUGACACUGAACAACGUGUUCGUGAACUUUGCUGACGCCACGGAGCGGCCCAACGCUCAGCUGGAGCAGUGUCCGCUGCACACCGGUACUGCGGAAGGAUACGAGUACGAGUACUACUUAUAUGGCCCCGACGCCUUCCAAGACCCACUGUACUAAAUCACAAUGAAUCACAACGCCCAUUAGCGGAGCCCAUGUUUUUACUUCGAUCCUUGAGCUCUAAUUUUCUGGCAAUCUUCAAUGCACAGUCAACCACAUGUUACAGUUACUUAUACAGUAUCGACUUCUUUUAAUAAUAUGCCCACCUUAUCGGAUUGUGCAUCAUUAAUAUUCCUGGGUACCUAUGUCUUACGAGUCAUUUUCGCUGUUAUAUAUUUUGGAUGUGUUUCGGAAUACAUUGCAAAAUCACCAACACCUAUUUUCUCGCUUAUUUAUCGUUGAGAGGACUUAGUGCCAUAAGCCGGUAAGAAGUGUCCAACAGUGUGGCUUUACCCCGUAUGAUACCCACUAACUGCUCAAGAGCAGCUCGCAUUUUUUGUCCGCCUCGCUUCAUGCAACGGUUUUUAGUGGUGCUGACCAUUUUCAGUGUUCCGUUGGUGGCUCACUUGUGCGAAUCAGAGUGGUGUGGCCAUUAUACUAACGUUUCCUCUCUUGCAUAGCCGUCUUAAUUGGUUUCAUAGUUUUCUAACAUGGUUGCUGACAUUGCUGACAGAUUGAAGUGUCGUCCCCUCGGUUUUUGGAAGAUGACCUCGUUUUCAUGUGGAUAAUGGUUGUGUUGCUUUCCUAUCAAAUGACUUAAUUAGAACGUCCCACGUGUUCCUGAGACAGUGUUUGAACCCGUUAACACAUCUUUGUAAGACCCCUCUCCCUACUGAGGGUGGGUACAGUCCGGUCGUUUUCACGAGGACUAGAAUGAUCAUUCCCCUCCUUUGACCAGCUGGCGGACCUUAUCGGGAAUCCCCUCAGCUGUUCUUGGUUGAUGAUUACUGGCGCAUCGACUUUGUGGGUGGUGACCUCUGCUGACUAUCCCGGUGGGCGCUGACCUUUGCUGACCUACCCUUGGACCUCAGAUGACCCUGAUCCCGCCGAUCUCUACUGAUUGACCAGGUGACCUUGACCUGACCUAUUGACCCUGACCUGUUGACCUCAGCUGACCCUCUGACCGGUCCCCAGGCGCCGUGGUGCCGUCCACGGGUACUGCGACAGACACGGAACAGGUCGGACCCAGGCGUGGUGAGGAGGCCGACCUCGAGGAGCCCCAACAGCCGGAGAUCGACACGGAGACGCCCGAGGCGACAGAGCCCGAGACGGAGCCGCCGGCGCCGGCGCCUCCGACCACGCCGGAGCCGACGGAGCCCCCGACCACCACCCCUGAGCCCACCGAGCCACCCACCACGACGCCGGCUCCCACUGAGCCGCCCACCCGGCUGCCGGCGCCGGUGGACGAGCCGCGCUGCGGCCUGCCGCUGCGGCCCAAUGAGGACGGGGACAUCACAGAGUACAGCGGACAGAGAUUCGGCAACCGUCCUGACUCUCGCUGGGAGUUCUCCACCCUGCCCGGCAAGAUCUACAUCAAAUCGUCCAUCUCCGUUGAGUUCAAGACGACGGCCCGCGAGGGCAUCAUCUUCUACGCCGCAGCGGAGAACCAGAUCGACUUCAUCGCGCUUUACGUCAAGAACGGCAAUAUUGUGUACGCGUUCGACUGCGGCAGCGGCGCUGCAGUGAUCUCGUCGGACAAGGCCUACAAUGACGACACGUGGCACACGGCCCGCUUCGACCGCAACCAGCUGCUGGGCGAGCUGUACAUCGACGACGAACUGGUGGCCUCCGGGGAGUCUGUGGGCAACUCUCAGAACAUCCAGGUGGACCCGCCCUUCUACCUCGGAGGUCUCUCGGAGGAGAUUAAGGAGAACGAGCGCCUGCAGGGCAAUGUGGAGAAGAUCGACGCCAGCUUCAACGGCUGUCUGCGCAACCUGCGCAUGUACAACACCAACUUCGGCAACCCGACGCGCUCGAUUGCCAUCACGCCGUGCUCGAACAAGGUGGAGCAGGGCGCCUUCUUCUCCGUCGAGGGCGGAUACAUCGUGGCCUCGCCCCGGUUCCGUGUGGGUAUCACGGUGGAGAUUGAGCUGGACAUCCGGCCGAGGAAGCUGGGAGGCGUGCUGCUCGCCGUGCACGGCAAAAAGGACUACCUGCUGCUGCAGAUGGUCGAGGAUGGAUCGCUCCUACUGACGGUGGAGAACGGCCGCGGAGAGGUGACUGCCGUCUACAAACCCACCGAGAAACACCAGCUCUGCGACGGCAACUGGCACACCAUCAAGGUGGUGAAGGUGCAGAACGUGGCCACGAUGACGGUGGACUCCAUCACCGUCUCGCCCGUGUUCGGCGUUGCCGGCGUCUCCUCCACCGACACCAACAACCCGCUGUAUGUCGGAGGCGUGCCCGACCGCAACGUCCGGGGACUCGUCACGGAGGAGAACUACGUCGGCUGCAUCCGCAACCUCUACAUCAAGAACAAGCCCAAAGUCAGCCUCAGUUAUGCCAAGGUGUACGGAGCGGUCACCGCCAACACGUGCCCGCUGAUCUAAGAGGUGGGAGGCUUGGCGGGAUAGCGGUGAGUUCCGCCAAGGUUCUGUAGGUUUGGUCAAUUAUACUCCAGCGAGUAGCUGAGAGGUGACCCGCUAACGCAAAUGUAGCGUGAAGUGUUGUUGAGUGUUAGAAUGUGCGUUCGUUACGUGAGAUGUAUGCUUGCUGUGUACUUGAAGUGUGUGUAUGUUGCUGUCCGUGAUACCAGUUUUAGCUCGCCCACUGCCAGACUUAUCGGUAUUUAAUGUUUUUACAUUUGAAUCGGUGUUGUUCUUUUCCCGGCUUUGCUUCGCUGCUUCAAUUACAUUCCAUCCCUUAUUCCAACGUACAACAUUCCCUAUCUGCUGGAAGGAAUGAUCUGAUCUUUGUGCCUAGCGUUGUUGCCUAUUUCGUCUAUCAUUUUUUCUUUGAAUUUUCGUUUUGGUCUUGGCAAACAAUGCCGUGAAAAUAUAUGUUCUGGUAAAA